rnacentral:misc_RNA from 1 species
UUUUUUCAUUAAUUUUGUAUUGUCAUUGGGGAGAAUAAACCCACCAACUCCAAAUUAUUGAAAUCAAUAUCAGGUAACAUAUGAAAUGUUGCAUGUUUUUGUAAAUGAGGGAAUCCGUGAAGAUUCCACAAAUUUGAUUGUUUGUCCGUGGGACGCAAAAGUCGGAUUUAACCUAUGACAGUCUCAUCCUUCUCUUGUUUUUUUAAUAAUAAGCCUUAGCAUAAACACAUUUUACUGCGCAUAUGACAAAGCCUACUAAGAAAAAGAGGUGUGGUAAUGAUCCUUCCGCAGGUUCACCUACGGAAA